UGUUAAAAAUUUCAUCCAUUUGCAUUGUUAAAAAUUGACGCAGCUGACAAAAUAAGCAAAAAUUGAUACAUGCCGUGUCAUGUGCAUCUUAUGUUGAUAUAGAAUGACUAAUUUUUAACAGUGGAAAUAAAUGAAAAUUUUCAAACU
rfam:Gossypium raimondii Chr05_contig_8, whole genome shotgun sequence.